GUUCUUCUUCUUUUCAACUCCUCUUAGGUCUCAUCAUGAAAGUUAUGGCUGUCUCCCAAUAAAAUCUAAACUGAAAUAAAGUCUUUUGAAGAAUUUCAUGAGUUUCCAGUCACAGAAUUUUACUUUAAGUUUCCAUUGUUACUGUUUCAUCCUGAUUGUCUGAUAGAAUUGAUUUCUUCUACAGAAUUUGUUCUUAGUUUGUGUUAAUCCUCCACAUAUUCCUUUUCUUUUUCCCCAUCCUGUUGCAUAAUAGAACUGAUAUUUCCCUACUUGGUGCUGUUAAUUCAUUACUUUUCAGAUAUGUAAGAGAUCUUCUUCUGAACCCUCCUGCUUAUGAAAUUGCAUCCGCAAUUCAAGCUGGUGAAGCUACUCGAACUGAGGGAGGCUAAUCAUAUUGAGUUUCGCAGAAUAAAAAAUAUGCUUGAUGAAAUAUUGCACAUGUAUAGAAACUCUGAGCAUUGUGAAAUCCUAAAAGCAUUAAUGGAUCCUACAUGGGUGGCAACUGGUUUGAAAGUUGACUUUGAAACAUUGUGAAUUUUUUGAGGAUAUGGAGU
rnacentral:misc_RNA from 1 species